rnacentral:rRNA from 1 species
GUGGGGAAUAUUGGACAAUGGGCGAAAGCCUGAUCCAGCCAUGCCGCGUGUGUGAAGAAGGUCUUCGGAUUGUAAAGCACUUUAAGUUGGGAGGAAGGGCAGUAAGUUAAUACCUUGCUGUUUUGACGUUACCGACAGAAUAAGCACCGGCUAACUUCGUGCCAGCAGCCGCGGUAAUACGAAGGGUGCAAGCGUUAAUCGGAAUUACUGGGCGUAAAGCGCGCGUAGGUGGUUUUGUAAGUUGAAGGUGAAAUCCCCGGGCUCAACCUGGGAACUGCCUCCAAAACUGCAUGACUAGAGGACGGUAGAGUGUAGUGGAAUUUCCUGUGUAGCGGUGAAAUGCGUAGAUAUAGGAAGGAACACCAGUGGCGAAGGCGACUACCUGGACUGAUACUGACACUGAGGUGCGAAAGCGUGGGGAGCAAACAGGAUUAGAUACCCGGGUAGUCC